rnacentral:rRNA from 1 species
UGGACCCGUAAUCCGGGUUGCGGACAGUGUCUGGUGGGUAGUUUGACUGGGGCGGUCUCCUCCUAAAGAGUAACGGAGGAGCACGAAGGUUGGCUAAUCCUGGUCGGACAUCAGGAGGUUAGUGCAAUGGCAUAAGCCAGCUUGACUGCGAGCGUGACGGCGCGAGCAGGUGCGAAAGCAGGUCAUAGUGAUCCGGUGGUUCUGAAUGGAAGGGCCAUCGCUCAACGGAUAAAAGGUACUCCGGGGAUAACAGGCUGAUACCGCCCAAGAGUUCAUAUCGACGGCGGUGUUUGGCACCUCGAUGUCGGCUCAUCACAUCCUGGGGCUGAAGUAGGUCCCAAGGGUAUGGCUGUUCGCCAUUUAAAGUGGUACGCGAGCUGGGUUUAGAACGUCGUGAGACAGUUCGGUCCCUAUCUGCCGUGGGCGCUGGAGAACUGAGGGGGGCUGCUCCUAGUACGAGAGGACCGGAGUGGACGCAUCACUGGUGUUCGGGUUGUCAUGCCAAUGGCACUGCCCGGUAGCUAAAUGCGGAAGAGAUAAGUGCUGAAAGCAUCUAAGCACGAAACUUGCCCCGAGAUGAGUUCUCCCUGAGACUUAGAGUCUCCUGAAGGAACGUUGAA